UACGGGGGGAGCAAGCGUUGUUCGGAUUUACUGGGCGUAAAGGGCGCGUAGGCGGUCGUGACAAGUCACUUGUGAAAUCUCCGGGCUUAACUCGGAACGGUCAAGUGAUACUGUCGGACUAGAGUACAGAAGGGGCAACUGGAAUUCUCGGUGUAGCGGUGAAAUGCGUAGAUAUCGAGAGGAACACCUGCGGCGAAGGCGGGUUGCUGGGCUGAUACUGACGCUGAGGCGCGGAAAGCCCAGGGGAGCGAACGGG
rnacentral:rRNA from 1 species